UGGAGUUAGAUAUCAACACGGCC
rnacentral:piRNA from 1 species